rnacentral:rRNA from 1 species
GACGAACGCUGGCGGCGUGCCUAAUACAUGCAAGUAGAACGCACAGUUUAUACCGUAGCUUGCUACACCAUAGACUGUGAGUUGCGAACGGGUGAGUAACGCGUAGGUAACCUUCCUGGUAGCUGGGGAUAACUAUUGCAAACGCUAGCUAAUACCGCAUAAUAUUAAUUAUUGCAUGAUAAUUAAUUGAAAGGUGCAAUUGCACCACUACCAGAUGGACUUGCGUUGUAUUAGCUAGUAGGUGAGGUAACGGCUUACCUAGGCGACGAUACAUAGCCGACGUGAGAGGGGGAAGGGGCACAGAGAGGGUGAGAGGCGACACUGGGUCUUACGGGAGGCAGCAGCACGUAAUCUACGGAGAAGGGCGGAAGUCUGACCGAGGGACGGCAGGCGGGUGAAGAAGGUUUUCGGAUCGGAAAGCGCUGUUGUAAGAGAAGAACGGGUGUGCGUGUGAAAAGGUCACACUGAGACGGUAUCGUACCAGAACGCGACGGCUAACCACG